rnacentral:rRNA from 1 species
GACGAACGCUGGCGGCGUGCUUAACACAUGCAAGUCGAACGGAAAGGCCCUGCUUUUGUGGGGUGCUCGAGUGGCGAACGGGUGAGUAACACGUGAUUAACCUGCCCUUUACUUUGUGAUAACUUCAGGAAACUGGGGCUAAUACCGGAUAGUAGCUCCUUCUUCAUGGUGGGCGUCGGAAAGUUUCGUCGGUUGGGGAUGGACUCGCGGCUUAUCAGCUUGUUGGUGGGCUAGUGGCUUACCAAUGCUUUGACGGGUAGCCGGCCUGAGAGGGUUAACGGCCACAUUGGGACUGAGAUAGGGCACAGACUCCUACGGGAGGCAGCAGUGGGGAAUCUUGCACAAUGGGCGCAAGCCUGAUGCAGCAACGCCGGGUGCGGGAUGACGGAUUUGGGGGUGUAAACCGCUUUCGGCUGUGACGAAGCGUGAGUGACGGUAAUGGGUAAAGAAGCACCGGCUAACUACGUG